rfam:Rattus norvegicus chromosome 8, whole genome shotgun sequence.
AGGGAUUUAGCUCAGUGGUAGAGCGCUUGCCUAGCAAGCGCAAGGCCCUGGGUUCAGUCCCCAGCUCUG